rnacentral:rRNA from 1 species
UUGAACGCUGGCGGAAUGCUUUACACAUGCAAGUCGAGCGGCAGCGCGGGGGCAACCUUGGCGGCGAGCGGCGAACGGGUGAGUAACAUAUCGGAACGUACUUAGACGUGGGGGACAACUAGUCGAAAGACUAGCUAAUACCGCAUAUGUCCUGAGGGAGAAAGCGGGGGAUCGCAAGACCUCGCGCGUUUGGAGCGGCCGAUAUCUGAUUAGCUAGAUGGUGGGGUAAAGGCUCACCAUGGCGACGAUCAGUAGCUGGUCUGAGAGGAUGAUCAGCCACACUGGAACUGAGACACGGUCCAGACUCCUACGGGAGGCAGCAGUGGGGAAUUUUGGACAAUGGGGGAAACCCUGAUCCAGCCAUUCCGCGUGAGUGAAGAAGGCCUUCGGGUUGUAAAGCUCUUUCGGCAGGAACGAAACGGCGGAAUCUAAUACAUUCCACUAAUGACGGUACCUGAAGAAGAAGCACCGGCUAACUACGU